rnacentral:rRNA from 1 species
CCUACGGGAGACAGCAGUGGGGAAUAUUGGGCAAUGGGCGCAAGCCUGACCCAGCAACGCCGCGUGAAGGAAGAAGGCUUUCGGGUUGUAAACUUCUUUUCUCAGGGACGAAGCAAGUGACGGUACCUGAGGAAUAAGCCACGGCUAACUACGUGCCAGCAGCCGCGGUAAUACGUAGGUGGCAAGCGUUAUCCGGAUUUACUGGGUGUAAAGGGCGUGUAGGCGGGAAAGCAAGUCAGAUGUGAAAACCAUGGGCUCAACCUGUGGCCUGCAUUUGAAACUGUUUUUCUUGAGUACUGGAGAGGCAGACGGAAUUCCUAGUGUAGCGGUGAAAUGCGUAGAGAUUAGGAGGAACACCAGUGGCGAAGGCGGUCUGCUGGACAGCAACUGACGCUGAGGCGCGAAAGCGUGGGGAGCAAACAGGAUUAGAUACCCUGGUAGUC